rnacentral:rRNA from 1 species
AUUGAACGCUGGCGGCAGGCCUAACACAUGCAAGUCGAGCGGAUGAAGGGAGCUUGCUCCUGGAUUCAGCGGCGGACGGGUGAGUAAUGCCUAGGAAUCUGCCUGGUAGUGGGGGAUAACGUCCGGAAACGGGCGCUAAUACCGCAUACGUCCUGAGGGAGAAAGUGGGGGAUCUUCGGACCUCACGCUAUCAGAUGAGCCUAGGUCGGAUUUGCUAGUUGGUGGGGUAAAGGCCUACCAAGGCGACGAUCCGUAACUGGUCUGAGAGGAUGAUCAGUCACACUGGAACUGAGACACGGUCCAGACUCCUAAGGGAGGCAGCAGUGGGGAAUAUUGGACAAUGGGCGAAAGCCUGAUCCAGCCAUGCCGCGUGUGUGAAGAAGGUCUUCGGAUUGUAAAGCACUUUAAGUUGGGAGGAAGGGCAGUAAGUUAAUACCUUGCUGUUUUGACGUUACCAACAGAAUAAGCACCGGCUAACUUCGUG